GAAAUUGUUUUAUUAAAUAAAAGUUUAAUCACUUCACUUCAGUGACAUACUUUUGUUUCCAAUGUUACAUGAUAAGUAUAAGGUUGAAUUUGUAGAUUUUUUGGGCCAUCUCUGGCCCACUUUGCCAGAGAGUGGUGAAACUUCUUGGGCCUCAAGAAGCAGUUCACGACCCAGUCCUGUUGUAAAACAGCCUCCAAAAAGCUGCACUAACCCAGCCCCAACCAG
rnacentral:lncRNA from 1 species